UACGGAGGGGGCAAGCGUUGUUCGGAAUUAUUGGGCGUAAAGCGUAUGUAGGCGGCUAAGUAAGUCAGGCGUGCAAGCCCGUGGCUCAACCACGGAAUUGCGUUUGAAACUGUUUAGCUUGAGUACAGGAGAGGAAAGCGGAAUUCCCAGUGUAGCGGUGAAAUGCAUUGAUAUUGGGAAGAACAUCUGUGGCGAAGGCGGCUUUCUGGUCUGUUACUGACGCUGAGAUACGAAAGCCAGGGUAGCGAACGGG
rnacentral:rRNA from 1 species